AUACGGAGGAUCCGAGCGUUAUCCGGAUUUAUUGGGUUUAAAGGGAGCGUAGGCGGACGCUUAAGUCAGUUGUGAAAGUUUGCGGCUCAACCGUAAAAUUGCAGUUGAUACUGGGUGUCUUGAGUACAGUAGAGGCAGGCGGAAUUCGUGGUGUAGCGGUGAAAUGCUUAGAUAUCACGAAGAACUCCGAUUGCGAAGGCUGCUUGCUGUACUGUAACUGACGCUGAUGCUCGAAAGUGUGGAUAUCAAACAGGAUUAGAUACCCUGGUAGGCCACACAGUAAACGAUGAAUACUCGCUUUAUGCGACAUCCAGUAAGCGGCUAAGCGAAAACGUUUAGUAUUCAACCUGGGGACCAAGCUGGCACCGGUGAAACUCACAUGAAUUGACGGUG
rnacentral:rRNA from 1 species